UAAACAGCAUCAACAGUUUUAUUAUCAAUUUGCACGACAAUUUGUGUAUAAAUUCUGAAGGUUUUUCCUCAAUUGGCAUAGUCAGUUUGAGAAGUCAACUGAAGCAAUCCAAAUCAAUCCAAAAUGAUGAAGUUCCUGUUCUUCGCCCUCCUCGUCGUCCUGGCCGUUGCCACCGCCUUCGCUGCUCCUGAGCCAGUUCCUGCUCCUUUCCCGUCUCCUUACGCCGCUCCUCUGCCAGUCCCCAACUAUGGCCAUUAUGGUUAUGGAUACCAUUACUAAACUGAAAAAGAAGCUGAAAAAUAUACAGAAAAUUGAGACAAUCGUUUGAAAUCAUUCCAAAUUCGUAAGACCAGAAAAUGGGGAAAUAAAAUUAUUAGGUAUCAGAAAACUGAA